ensembl:lncRNA
AGAUUUUUCAGCUUCGCAAAUCUUUCAGCUACAGACACCAUUUAAACUUUGAGACACAAAAGUCUCAACUAUUUUAUAAAAGAAACUUCUUGUUGAUAUCUAUUCUACUUUUUUCAUAAUCACUGAUUAUGUUUCACAAGUUUUUCGGUCCGUUUUUGAGUUUUACAUGAGUGUGUAUUGCGUUUGUUAGAGUGACAGCUGGAGCUCUAGAGUGUAGCGCAGCGGCAGAAUGUAGUUAAAAAAAUGUGGAACUUCUGUCCUUCCAACCGAAGUAUACACUUUUGAGGCUUCAUUUCUUUGGAUUAAUGAUUGCAUGGUUGUGCUGAUUGUGGCUAUGGAAUCCCAAAGUUCUUUAGUUUUUGCCUAGGGAGCCCGAGCUUGAGACAACAGCAGUCUCACGCUCCAUAGGCUCCAAUACAAAUCUGCCGACAUAUUUCUCAAGAAAACCAGAAGGUACAAGUUUUGUAAACAUCCAGUGAUAUAGCAGUAACAUCAUGAAGGCUGUCAAAAUUGCUCAAAAAUGACUUUCGAAUAUUCGCUUAAACCCCCCCACAGAUAUUCGGAUAUCUAGUUGCGCAUUAGGCACGUCAAUAACUGGUCAAAUUAAUAGAAGGAGACAUAACUACUUGUAUAGGUAAUUUAUUUAAGUUUAAACCAAUUUAACAAAUUACCUGCACAAAAAAAAGUAAAUUAACUAACGGCCAAGACCGCAGACCUCUCUCUGCGUAAAGCGGUUUAAAUGAACGACAACAAUAAACAAAUGCCGAGUGCUGAUAAUCCUGGUAAUCCUACCCGUUGGUAAUCCUACCCGAAGGUGCUCCUACCAGUUGGUAAUCCUACCCGAUGGUAAUUCUACCCGAUGGUGAUCCUACCUUAUGGUAAUCCUACCCGUUGAUAAUCCUACCCAAAGGUGCUUCUACCCGAUGAUAAUCCUACCCGAUUGUAAUCCUACCCGAAGGUGCUUCUACCCGUUGGUAAUCCUACCCGAUGGAAAUCCUACCCGUUGGUAAUCCUACCUGAAGGUGCUUCUACCAGUUGGUAAUCCUACCCGAUGCUAAUCCUACCCGUUGGUAAUCCUACCUGUUGGUAAUCCUUCGCGAUUGGGAUCCUACUUUAUGGUAAUCCUACCCGUUGGUAAUCCUACCCGAAGGUGCUCCUACCCGUUGGUAAUCCUACCCGAUGGUAAUCCUACCCGAAGGUGCUUCAACCUGUUGGUAAUUCCUACCCAAAGGUGCUUCUACCCGUUGGUAAUCCUACCCGAAGGUGCUUCAACCCGUUGGUAAUCCUACCCGAAGGUGCUUCUACCCGAUGGUAUUCCUACAUGUUGGUAAUCCUACCCGAUGAUAAUCCUACCCGAUGGUAAUCCUACCCGUAAGUACUCCUACCCGUUGGUAAUCUCACCCGAUGAUAAUCCUACCCG